GAUUACAUCAAGUAGGUGAUUACUAUGUCAGCUAAAAAGGUCAAGUUCCAUACUUUUUAUUUCAAACCAUCAUAAAGAAACCUUUCUAUAAUGACACACGUCUAUACUGUAGAUCUCUCCAUACUCACUUUAAAAAAGCUUCUAUCUGACAUAUGGCUUAAUGUAUAAAAAUUCUGUAUUUUGGUAAUUAAUACACUGUUAAUAUUGCGAUGAAAGAGAAAUACUCACGAACUCAAACAGUUAUUUUUUCCCCUGCAAAUUUCCCUUUAAAAUAUUGGUAUUUAUCACUAAAUAUACAAUUUAUAGUAGUAAAAGUUACUGUCAUUAGAAUGAUGUGCUAUAAAAACAUUAAUAUACUGCUCUUUUCAGGUUGCUGCUAUUUAGUUCCGAUAUGUACCAUCAUGCCCUCUUAAAAUUAUAGGAAUAUAUAAGAUUCUUACUUUAAUACUUAACUCCAAAUAAAUCUUCAUUUCAAAUAAAGCAUGCAUUUUGAUUUGGGAUACAGUGAAAAAAUCUUUAAAGAUAUAUACAUCAACUAAUUUGUUAAUCUUGUGCCACUUUCAGCAUUUGUCACACAUAUAGACCAGGAAAUUGGCUCCAUCUCAUUCUAACUCUGUGUUGAAUUAAAAACCGCUACUGCAAAGAAGAGCAUGAUGUGGGGAAAGAAUAAAUUUAGUUCUUUCUUUAGUAAUGCACAUAUAUUUCCAUACAUUUCACAUCCUAAGGGAGCCUGUGAACGCAUUCAAUAAAUACAAAACUGUAAAUCCAGGAAAAGGGAAUUUUUAUAUUAUAAAUUUCACAUAUGACUUUAGUCUUAAAAGAUCUAAAAUUAUAAAUGUCACUAUGCUUUUAUUCUUUUGUCAAAUAUAGGAUAUGGAAAAAAUGAAGGCACUGAUACUGGUCAUUGGUAUUUCUGAGAAUAUUGGAUGUUUUAGAACAAAAAAUAUAUUCAACAACACUUGAAGAUUAAGAAAAUAUUAGAUGCGAAUAAGGUAUAGAGUCCUAAAUAAAAAUGUGCCUGAUCCAAAUAGGAAGCAAUAUGCAGGAUAACUUAAAGAAAAAAAGAAAAAGUGAACUCACUGUAUUGCUGGUCACUUCCAUGUGGGAAUAAACCGUUCAACAUGGAGUAGUAUAGGUACCUUUUUAAUGCUGAAAUGGGCAUGCUAAUUGUGAACUAUGCGGUCAGAAGCUCCUUCUAAAAUAUUCAGUAACUUAUUUACUGGAAUUUAACAAGCUGUGUACUUCAAAGCUUCUUUCACCUCUAAUUAAGUGCAUAAACUCUGUGAAUCGUAUUGGCAACUUGAGAUUUGGCACAGCAGCAGCAGUGCUGAAGCAGCCCCCACCGCUAGGAAAGGUACAAACACAGGCAAGUGACCUGUGAUGGGCUGAGAGACCUCGCUUACCAGGAUUUGCUCACGGUUAUGCUUCUGGCAACUGACAUUUCCAUUUUACUCAAAGCUUCUACCUUUGUGUCAUCAGACAAAGCCCCAUGAGUGGUGGCAGAGCAAACUGUAGCCUUCAUUCUCAAGUUUGAAGAGGAAAAGUUAUUUACAUGCCUAAAUCGCAGAACAUGAUGUUCAAAGGUCACUUUCUGUUACUCAUUGUUAUAAACCACUAAGUUUUCCAAAAGCUCUAUAAGGAAAAGGCACAUAGUUUGGGCAGAAACAUGUAAUUGGUUGUUUUCUUCUUUUAUUUUCUUUUCUUAUUGUAUGAUCUGAUUUUUGUACUACCAGAGGAAUGUCGAAGAUGAGAUGUUUCUGUCGUUCCGUACCAUGAACAAUUGCUUAAAGGGACCAUCAGAGACUGCAAGACAAAUCUAUGACCCUCCUUAAGAUUUUUAUGUUCUGAAGAGGAAUGACUUUUAAUUGGUUAGGAUUUUAGAGUUUAUGAUGUAAGGAAAAGUACUGAUUCCUGUAAUGACUGAUCCUUUACUGUUUUUAUUAGACUUUCAACUGAGCAUUUCUUAAACUUUCUUCUUAUGAAUUUAGACAAAUAUUUAAUUGUUUUAUUGCUGUAAUGCCAUUUCCCCCCACCCCAUUUUAGACAUAUUUUCCUGAAUGUGAGCCUGAAUUUAGUGACAAGCAGUCUGAUUUCCAGAAAUGUAUUGUUAUCAGUAAAAGUACUCCAUACCAAAAUGUGUGAAUGGAGAUGUUAAGAGAAAGCACAAAUAAUGCCUUUAUUCAUUACGAGAUGAAGCCCUGAGAAGUCAAGGUUAUUUAAUGGAAAUGAAUAAAUGCAGCUUGAAAUAUCUUUAUUUUCCAAACUGCAAGAGCAACUCAAACAAUAAGGAUAGCAUAUAAAGAAACAAACAACAAAGUCAGUUGAUUUCCUUAAAAAAUAUUUGGAACUUAAAAAAAAAAAAGAGGGAAAGCCGUCAUUUGACAUGGUGAUUAGGGUAGACUGAAGGACUCGGCUCAGAGGCUGCUUAUGCUGCUAUUGCACAGCAAAACUGUGUAGGGCAUUUAAUCUCUCUUAGUUUUCCUGUUUGUAAGUAACAAGCUGAUAAUGCUCACUUCAGUCUAGUGUUGUGCAAUAUUCAGAUGUUUCACAAUACAAUAGAAAAGUGUGUCACAGUGUACUUAAAAGUUGCCUGUUAAACUUCAUGUUUUUGAGAUGAAAGAAAAUUUCUGCUAUGCAUCUUGAAAGAGCUCAUUCCUUAAGGUGGUGGUGGCAGCUUUAAGCUUUUCUGAGAUAUAUUUUAUUUUUGUUUGUUUUUUUAACUGCUUAAUGGGCUAAUUUUUGGUAUCAUCUCUGGAAUAUGUAUGUCUCCUAUGACUGAAAGGAAGGAUGGUUGAUGCAAAUGAAAAAAGUCUCUUUUAGGAGAUCCUGUGAUCAGUAGAAUUCUGUCACCAUCACAAAAACAUACUUAGCAUGGCAUAUAUUUCUCAUUUCAGCUAAUAAACCUAACAUCUUUGUCUGGACAACAUCUCAAGCCUCUUUGCUAAAUGAUAUUACUGGAAGACUCCUUAUCAUUAAAGGAAUUGAGAUGGAGUCAGAUAAUAUGUAAAUUACAUAGCUUUUUCCCAUAAAUAAGCAAAUUGAUGUUUCCCAGUGUAGUAAAACACUUCUUAUUGGUACUGAUAAUACCACAGUCUUGAAGAGGUUAUCUAAAAAAGAUAAACUGAGAAAAAUUGGAUGCAACAUAUUUUCAAGUGGACAUCUACAUAAAUGUCUUCAGAUCAGGACUGUGUUUCUGAAGUUACUCUCCUGAUUAUCUCCACUUACUGUGCUAUGUUUAACACAGUGUUAAUGUCUUCUCAUGGGCAAGAACUAGCUUUCUUUUGGAGAACACUAAGCUGAGAUAUAUUGUCUGGAUACUGACGUCAGUACUCCAUUCUCAAACAGAUAUUAGGUUCAUGGAACCAUAUGAAGUGAUCCUGAAGUGAGGGCAGUAGGACUUCAACACUAAUUCUAAAGAGCCUGGUCAUAUUCUGUUUGUUACACUACUUGUUAUUCCUAAACACAUUUCUCAGAUCUGUAGGAAAUGGUCAUGGGCUCUUUCUGAGAAAGGCUUGAGCAGAGGUAGAUACCACCAAGCUAGAGUUAUUUAGAAAGAAACAAUUCUUUCCCCUUGGUUUGUACUUGAGCAACAAGGACAGUGCCCAGAAUAUUUUGCAUUGUAUUUCUAGCAUAACCUAAAUUUUUCUUCCGCAAUAUGGGCAUAUUAGCCACCCACAUUUCAAUUAUCUGGGACUACAGGUACAAUAGCUUAUUUGCUGUAGAUUGUCUCAUAUUCUAUAAAUAGAGAAAGAGGAUAUUUCUUGACAGAACAAGACAAAACUUGGAUCACUGUGAAUCUCCUCUCAAUAAUUUGGAUGACUGCACAUUUUGUACUGCAUGUAAGGAUAUCAGCAGGGAAUUAGUGAAAGUUGUACAAAACCUAUAUAAAACUAAAAGUUAUCUCUACAGAAAAUAUUGGAAAUACUAUUGAUGACUACUCUCAAAAUGGGCCCAUAGUAGUGCAGUUAUUUUUUCUCUUGAGUAUUCUAAGCCAUGCCCUAGGUUUGCCUAUAGCUUUAUGUUCUUGCUGUGGAGCCCUGAAAGGUUUUCCGGCAUUGAACAGUAGUCAGAGUCUAUGACAUGAGAGAUAUUAAAAAUAAUAAUAAUAAUAAAUCAUUUGUGCCUGAAACUUCCAGCAUUUAGGGUAGGAGAGGCAACUAAUCAAAGACAGAACCAAAAUGGUUUAUAAGAACAUCCAAAUUAGGAAUGCAGAAUUUUACUUUUGAGAUCAUCUGCAAAAUGACAAAGAUGUCCUUUACCUGCAUCAUUACCAGUGUUAAGCACCAGCUCACAGCUGAAGUACAUGUCAUAUCACUGAUACAUGCUUGUCAGAUGCCAUCGAAUAUAUUGAAUCUUACAGAAAAAAAAUGCAAAACUAUUAUAUGAUAACUGUAUUAUUAUAUGAUACAAAAGUAUGUGUUAGGAUUGCUGGUAUUGUAAAGAUUAAAUGAGAGAGUAAUCCAUUAACAUAACCUUUCAUGUAUCAUCUACCUUUAUUUAAAUCCAGAGUGGUUUAAGUUCUUAAGGGGGCAUCUUUUGGACUCAUUCAUUAAUGGUGAAAAUGACUAAUUUGUGUAUAGUCUAAUCAUGUUACUAUUUCAAGUUACUUUAAUUGCAGCACUUAGUAAGUUCGUGAAGCAGAAUUUCAUUCCAUCUGGUGAUUACUUAUUUACUUACAUUAAUCAUACAGUCAGAAAACAAGGAAUUAAAAAAAAAAAAAAGGAGCUACUGAAAACUUGAUUGAUCAUACUGGAGAAAUUAAUGUUAAUAAAUGUGUCCAUAUGGAACUUGAAAAUUUCAACACCCUUCAAGAAAUUAAUGUAGAAAACAAACAGGGAACUGCAAAUGCUGUGAUUUCCCUAAGAAACUUAAUUUUCCUACUAUUUGAACUAGCUAAUAUAUCAAAAGUAGACAAAUAUAAAAAAUAGCUAUUGAAGCUAUUUACAUUUUAUUAUUUUUUCAAUUCUUGUAUUGUAUAUACUUACUGAGUUUGCUUUCACUCUGCUGUGAAUCUCUGAGACAAGCUAGAUACUUGUGGGGACCUAUUAUGUUAGCUUAGGGAUAAAAACAGUGCUCCCACUUGGUCAUAUUAGGUCCUUCAGUAAACUAUUUUCAGGCUUGAACAGGUGCAUGACUGACCUGAGGAAGAGGUACGUUAAACAUUUUAGAAGUCUGUUACUUUCCAAGUCAUUAGUCCUAUUCUUCUGACGUCUCUAAAAUGCCCUAAAGCAAUCUACAGAUCAUUACCCUCUAACAGAUGACUUUUAGAAUUCUAUUCUCCAUCCACAACAAUUAUACAGAUGGACCUCUAUGUAGUGUAGUAUGACCAUCCUUGUCUGCUGUUUCAAACGUGGAAGCCAUUUUGUAUUCUUUAUAACUUGGUUGGUUGCUAAUAUAUCAAAAUCCAUAGUGAUUUAUACUGGCACAAAGUAUCUGUUUACAUCACAAGCAGCAGUUUUGCUGUACUGUUAUGGACGUUUAGACUACACAAAACAACAGGUUGCAAUGCUGUGCUUUCAGAGCUGCAGUGGUAUGUGAGUGGGCACAUGUGCACAGCAGAUCACUAGUUAUUGCAGCACAGGCAGCCUCUGCUUCUGCUAUAUAUUUUCACAACUGAUAGGCUUUUUUUUUUUUUUUUUUUUUUGUUUGGAGGUUGUCAUAUGGUAUAACACUUUUACUAGUUGACUCCUCCUACUUUUCUUCAAACCACAUCCUGAUUUUUGGCCUCAGAAACCAAACAUAUGCACAGCUUGCAGAACAACACAUGAUAUUGUUUCUGUAUAACAUCAUACCAGCUGGGAUAUAAAUUCUUACAGACAAUUUUAUGCGAAUGAAAAAUACCUACAUUAAGACAUUUUCCAUAGCUAUGCAAUAUAUACCACAGUAGAGCAUAUGGUCUACAGUCAGAGAUCCUCACUUAUAACUAUAACAAAAGCCCCAAGUCAGCCUCAGAUCUUCAGACAGUGUAAUUUUUAAUAGAUCAUUCUAAUUUCUUUCUAUUUUUUUCAUACUUCUUCUAUUGUGUUUUGGAUUUCUGGAAUCUAACAUCAGCUAUUUUGCUGUAUCGUUGAAGACCCUUAAUCUUUUUGAUUUAUCCAGUGUGGAGCACCAUAAAGCUAUUAUUUAACUAAAAAGCAACAAAUAUUUGGUGAAACUCUAAGUUGUAUCAUAAUCUGAAGAUAUAUCAAUAGCAAGAACUUAGAAUUUGUAGGAAAUAUAUUUCAACAUUUAUUUUCACUAUUAGAAAACUGUUCUAUAUCUGAUUUGUCAGUUUUCCCCAGAUUUUUUUUUGUGGGUGGAGUACUUAUUUUAUUCUCCUUUCAUGAUAAAUAAGAUUUGGAUAUAAAUAUUUAUCACAUGACCUACAAACUUUAACCAAGUCACUCCCAAUACUCUUUUUCGAUAAUCAGUUAAUCACAGUAAAUAAUUUUCUCCUGCUCUCCAGUUAUGCAACUUUUUAUUUCCUUCUACCGUAUCUGUUAAAAUAUGGACAGCAGAACUAUGGGAAAUAUUCCAACAGUUUCAUCAGGAUUGAAAGAUCACAUUAGCUCUGUUCAUGCAGUUUUGCAGUAGGUACUCAUGUUGAAUUGCUAGUCCACUAUGGCCCAUAAAUUCAUGCAGAGUUGAUGCAUUUUGAGGCAAUAUACCAUUUUUUUGAGGGGUGGAAUUCUUUUGUAUUGAUGCAUAAGCUUGUAUUCAUCUCUUCUAAAAUGCUCUUUAAUUUUUUUUAAAUUAUUAUUAUUUUUAAUGUUCCUAACUUGCCAAGAGAUCUCUUCUUUCCUGAGAUCAUCAUUAUGUACUACUCACGUGCCUUUCAUCCUUAACACGGUAAUUUCUAUAUGCACCUCCAAUGAGGUGACCUCAGAGCUCAAAAUAUUCUCAGCUUCAGAGCUGAGAAUACUGAGCAGCACUGGGCCUAGAGCUGAUCCCCGAUGAAUAACAUUAAAAAGAGUCAAUAACAAUUCUCAUUUUAAGGUAUAUUUUGAUCACCUGUUGACCAACUUUUAAUGAAUUGAAAUUAUGAAUAUUAAUGCAAUGUAGUAGAUUCUUUUUCUUAAUAAAAAUAUCAUAAAAUAAACUUUCAUUGUGCCUUUAUCAAUUAAACCAUCAGAAGAUGCAUAUCCCAAAGAUAGAUAAAAAAAUUAGUUGGCAAUGUAGAAAAGAAAACUCUAAGAAUUACUGUUCUUCAAUUUGCUCUGCACAUGUAACUUCAUUUCAUCUUUGUGAAACAGUUCAUAUAAUAAUACUGUUCAUAUUUCAGAACUGGAGAGAUUCUGAUUUUUCUGACAUACAUAUAUCUUGUAAAACAUGAAGGGGCUUUUUGAAUUUAUUGAUGUUUUCUUUAAGAAGCUUACAAAACUGGAGUUGGGCCCUGGUGUAUUCACUGUCCUCAGUUACUUUUAAUAUUUUUUACUAGCACUUUAUUUUUCAGAUGGGUAAUAUAGUCUCCAUAAUUUUCCACACAACAUUUUAUUCACAAGGUUAGAAAAUGAUUCUUAACUAAUUCUUAAUCUGUGCUUUGGCAGACAUACCUUUUUUCAUUUCUGCCUGUAAGAGGUAACAUUGCAUCUGUUAUGCUGACAGAUAAAUGUACAUCCACAGUCCUCUCAAAGCUUUAUGAACAUCACGGCUCCUCUCCUACCCCUACCCCGGUGUGCCUGAAUGGUGCCUGAGUUUCUGAAAGUAAAGGGGAAUAAGCUGAUGACCUUUGAGGAGACUCAUUUAAAAUGCCACCCCUUUUUUUGGGACCCCUCUCAUGUCCACAAUAAAGUUUUGGUGAAGUUUGUUAAAAAUACAUUUCCAAUAAGUUUAUUCUUGAAAAAUGAUGGUCUAAAUCUUUUGAAUUCAUUGGACAUUUCUGUCUUUGUGUAGGCUGAAUAACACAGCUAAUAGCACAGUAAUAAUUACAUGUCAUUCUCUUUAUCCUCUUUGUGCACUGCCAAUCAGCAAAGGUGUCUCAUUUCACACAUCAUUUGCUAUGUACUAUGGUAAUGCCACAUAUUUUGGGGAAUAGCUCUUGAAUGUAGUCAUUAAUCUCCAUUUUGGGAUGUAUAGCUCCAGAUUCUGGACCCAAUUCUGAAAUUAUUCUACGUGCUAAAGUCAAUGGGCUAGUAAGACUCUGCUCAGUUCCCAAGAGAAAGAGAGUACAGGUAACUUAAAACCACAGAACUGUGUGUUUUCCCUAUCCUGCAACUAUCCACAGCCCAAGCUGAAAAGCAGUUUACCCUAUUUGUCUAGAGUUAAAGACAGGUCAUGGCAGUAAGUGGAAAUUUUGGGUUUAGGGAUUAUUCUGAACAAUCUUCCCACUUGGUGGAGAGAAAGCAAGUUAUUCUGACUGUCUUAUUCUGGUCAAGGCAGCUAGAACAAAGGAGGACUGUUAGCUCCUACUGAGGCACAGCAGCCACAAGUCAACAGCAAUCCAGAUCCAACUUCAACACAGAGACAGCUUGUGAAAUUGAGAAACAGGAACAAGACGAAAAGUACUAUACGUGUCUGUGAAACCUUAUCAACCCUGGCAGAGAUAUUUAUUGCUCACUGAUGACUGAGAAUCUCGUCUUGCCCAGAGACUAGUUGUGAGUUAGUAAUGGAGUAAAAAUGUGGGCUGAACAGAGAAUGACAGUCUAUUGCUGAUUGCUCUGAUGUCACGCUUUAGGAACAGCAGCCAGAAAUGUGCAACUCAUUCUGUCUGUAGAAUCAAAGGCACCUAAUUACAAUCUCAUUUUGUUAAAAUACAGCACUAAUGACUUGCUUGUGCAGUAGCUGGAUACCAUAUCAACUGCCAUAUAAGCUAAUUUUUUCCAUUUUAACAAUCCUAGUUACAGUAUCUGACAGCCUGCGCAUAAACAUUUGCCAGUUGUUGCUGUGUGUCAUUGGAGAGGAGAGAUGCAGCAGUUUCCACGAGGCAGUAAAAGCAAGAGGAGUCACUGGAAGAUAAGCUUUGUACUGAGAUGUCCUACCUCACUUCUGAACUGCUUUGACUCAUUCAUAAAUACUGGUCUUUUAAAAAUCAGACCACGCUUCCUCAGGUCAGAUUAUUCUGUGGCACAUCAACAGAGGUUAAGACCUGUUCUCUUUUGUCCUCCUCUCAGUUAAUGUUUAUUAUGUAUCCAUCUCUUUAUUUAUUUAGUUAGUUAUUUUUAUUAGUACUGUUUGUACCUUUGAAUUCUUUUCCUGCUUUGGGCUGCUUCCAUGUGUUUGGUACAAGUUACACAUCAUCUCUAAAAUUUUAUUAAUAAAUAUAUAUAAAUAUUUUCAGAACUCUCACUACUUACAAAUUCUUAUUUUAGGCUAAGGAUUACUUCUAUUAUCUUUCAAGCAUCCUGCUGAAAGCAAAUAUAUUGUUAAAUAUCAAGGGGACCUUGCUUUGUUCCCUAUGUGUGGCUUUCCUUCAACAAAUACCAAACUAAGCAUGUGCAUGGGGGACACACAUUGGCAUUUGGAUUAUCUGAUGAUAUUCCAUGAAAUUCUUUUCAGAAAAUUCUGUAUAUUUAAUCUGUUCAUUAUAGCAAAGUCUGUGUUAUUAUGUGUUUAUCUGAAAGGAGUUUUCUGAAAGUAGUGAAAUAAGUUUAGGUUUAUAAGCACCUGUGUUUUGGCACACAGCAAGGACAGAGUUUAUACUAAGCCACAUUUUUCAUAUGACAUUAGAUGGCUCCAGACUUUGAUAUGUUUGAUUUUCUCCUACAUGCCCGAUGCAAUCUAUUACAUGUGUAAUUCUAUUUUUGAGUAUGUUCUUUCUCCAAAUGUGAGUAGCAAUAUUUCUUUCAUUGUGGCUGGUGCUUUGACAGUAGCCAUCCUUCUAAAUCUAUACAAUGGGCAUUUUCUCCAAGUGCUGAGCACUUGUCUCCCCAGACCCCUGCCAGUUGUUUUCAAUAGCUUUUCAUGUGAAGGUGUGUUACUAGAACCUGUUGUGUCAAAAAUCAGAUAGGUCUUUCAAAAAAAAUAUGUCUAUCAAGCUAUUCACACUCAGAGUCCAUCAAGAGAAUGAUGUGUAUAAUUAUUAUUUUUAAGAAGCAUGGAGGGCAGCCAGAAGAGUUGAAGCAGGAACCCUUCCAAGUACAUAUCCUGAAGAAGCAGAAGGGGCAGUAAUAAAACUAAACUUCCCUCUGUAAUGAGAAAGACUGUUGGAAGAGUGAACUCAUUAGUUAGGUGCUGGGGGCCAAGUCAUUCUUUGUUUCCUUCUCAUUUCUUCCAGGCUAUGACUGUGUUUUAACAGCAUCCCAGAUCAAAACACUACCUGGGAAUAUUAGUGAGCUGAAAAAGAAACCAGUAAAGUAGUAACAGUCCCAAUGUCAGUAUGAAAAUCAGGACUAUGAUCUUUUAACUGCUCCAGUAAAAAGUUAUUUCACUUGUAAUUUCUGCUUCUUGGAGGUGCCUAGUGUAUUCAAAGAGCCUUCCACAAGUCCACGAUCAGUUACACUGAACUACAAAAUCAACGAAAUUCUCUGAGCUCUAUUUCCACAGGUUUCCUGGGAAGAGAUAUAGUCAAGAAGUCAGACUAUGCUCCAGUUCUGACUUGGGUACAGGUUUACUUGUGCCAGUCAGCACUCAAGCUGCUUACCAGUUAUUUAUAGUCAACAUACUGCAUACCACUGCUGUCUCCUCCUAUCCUACCCUUUCAUUUUGUGGAUUGUAGGGAGUACAAGGUAACAGUAGGGUAUGCCAACCCCAAAGGUGAGUCUGCUGGUGACUGACUAGUAGAGCAAUUCUCUAUGGUCUGUUUUGCAUAGCAGUACAACUGAACAAGGACAAGCCAGAGCUGAUGGCUGCUCUGAUUCCUUGCACCAGUACAAAUUAAACCAAGAAUAUGGAGAACGCAUAUGACUUCAUCCUUCAGACCACAAGUGAAGCUGAGUCAGCAAGUGGUGAGGAAAACUGCAUGUAUUUAUAGUGAAUGAGCAAUUAUUAUUUUUUUCAUGAAAUGUUUGUAGCUAAUCAACUCAAAUAGCUGCCUAUCUAAUAAAUACAAGCUGCAUAUAAUGCUGCCAAAAAAGUGAACUUGAAUGGUAUGUUUGGCAGUGCUGAGCAACUCUCAAAGCACAUUAGAUGCUCACUGUCUGAGCCGAAAGACUAAAAUCUGAGUAAGAUUAAAAAAUAUAAUUUGAUCUUUUUUUUAUACUAUAUACUGCUUUUAUUCAUUCUUAAGUUUAGUUCCACUGAUCUCAGUACAGAUAACAGAAGGAACAGAACCCAAAGCUAGCACUUAAGUAUUUAUUUUCACAAGUGCAAAUUAUUUUCCUAAGCUUUUCUUCGUCUUUUCCUCCUUUCUUUAUAUUUUUCCUUUUUUUUUUCUUUUUCUAGAAGUCUUUCCGUGUUCACUGCUUACUUAUGAAACAGAAUGGAACAGAACUAAAAAAUGAUAACUUCUAUUUAAUUUCUUCUGACAGUGGAAAGGGAUUCCCUCACAUUUCUUUAGGGAUGCUGAAUAAAUUCAGUUUGACACCAUUUGUGCUUGCAAUUCACAGAAAUCCAGCAGCGGUAUUUAUACAGCUAUAUUCCUACCUGGUAUCAUAGACUUUUUAUACUAUGAAUACUUUCCUUUUAUUUAGUUCAUAGUACUCCCUCCUCUGCUCCUUUCAGGAACUUUACGGAGGUGCAGGUAGCCAGGAACAAAGCUUCACAGACCAAAAUUGGCAACAGUAAAUUCUAUUGACAUUAACUCCUCAUAAUUUUCAGCACACAGAUUUAUUCAUGUAACUCCCAUUAAAAUUAAUGGGAAUCAUGUGACUCAAUCGUCUGCAUAUUGAACUCUUUCCUCAGUGUACUAAAUAGUCUAUAUCUAGUUUUUGAGUCCCAAAACAAAAUGAAGAUGUACUGGUAAUAUAUCAUUUAAAUGUCACAUACAUUUAAUUAAUUACAGAACUUUGAAGAAACAUCAAUAAAAGCAUCUUUUGCAUCAAAAGUCAAAAGUCUUAAUUAAUAGUCAAAAGGCUUAAUUAAUAUUACAAAUUUCAGCACAGUUUUCAUUAUUUCAUAUAAUAAUACAACAGGCUACUGUAUUUGUAAUUUAUCCUCUAACUAUACAAUUUUGUCUUUAAAUAGCCACAAGGAAUGCAAUAAAUGAAAGAUUUUUCGGAACAAUGGUUUAAGCUUGGUCUUACUUUUUAAACAUUUAACCUUAUUUUAAAUGACAGCCUGUUAAUAGGCCAUUAAUACAAACAUUAUUUUAAAAUGAGAUUUCAAGGAAAGGUUAGACUUGAAUAAGUUACAGUAAGAACAGGCAGAAACUGAUGACUUUCAAAGAAAUAAUGCUGUAAAAAAUGUCUAUGAUGUUAUGCCCAAGCAAUGUGAAAACAAAGGCUAUAAUUUACCUUUCAAUUACAUAUAUAUAUAUAUAUAUAUACAUAUAUUUCUAUAUCCAUGCCAGUAUUUAGAAGUCUACCAACUUAAUAGAAAGCUUUGUAAGGACGAGGAUGUGCAAAUAAUGUAGUAGAAUAAAUGGAAGUCCUUGAGUGUCCAAAUGUCGAAUGGAGACAUUCAAGAAGGUCCAAAUACAGCUUGAUUUUGUAGAAUAUCUUGAUUCCUUCCUUUUUUUCCCCUUCCUUCUUCCUUUUCUCCUCCACCUUGUGCCUUCUGCAUUUGCACACCACUCACUGCUAACUCCUGUGAAAUUGUGGGCUUCCUCAUGUGUCACUGAUCGUUGGGAAAGUGCUCUAGUCGAAUUAUCUUCAGGAAAACUGUCUUCUUAUUUAUUCUCAACAAGCAAGGAAUUUGUUUCUUAUUUUUUGCUACAAAGUAAACUGAAAAAGGUAAUUGAUUAUCUUCUGGUACACAGUACUGAUGUCCUCAUUUUUGUUCACACAAUGUCACUAAAUGUAAAGAUGUUGUUAUGGAUCUCAAUCCAUAACGCUGCGAAGCUGUGUACUGUCCUCACAAAAGCUGCAGUAAUUGGUGCUUAUAGGCUAUAACUGCCCAGUGAGAUAAUAUUUUUCUAUGUUACUCUAAGAAUUCAAGUUCCUCAAAAGUGCUUACACAACUUAAUUACACAACUGCAGUUUUCUUGUGCAGCAAAGAUAGAUUAAUAGGUAAAUAAACAGGGACCACUUGACUCCCAUGGAACUAAUUUUUUUUAGAUUUGAUGUAAGUGGUAGAGGAGAAAGGACAGCAGUGUCAUAUCUAUCUUAGUAGUUCAUAGGAACAAUAUACUAUGUUUUAUUAUAGGAAUUGAAAUCUUCAUUAUCCAACAGAAAUUUCAGAGAAAACUUCCACACAGAAAGGUGUAAUUUAUGUUAAAUCAGAAUUGUGUCCUGAAAAUAAAGUCUAUUUCACAGACAUUAGCUGAUUUCUUAAGAUCUGAAGAAGAGACAUUUUUUUUCUCUCUGAUUUAACAGAUAACAACAUCAAGUAUAUAGAACUCAGUAAAUCAGAGUAGUUUGCUUGCAUUUGACUCAGGAAAAACUAUAAACUUCUUAUCAUGUUCAGCAAUAGAUUCUUAUUUUUCCAUUGUUUUAACGGGUUGAGUAUAGAAUGCCAUGAAUUUCUGCUGUCAUCUCCACUCAUAUUAAAUGUACCCUUGGCUAUUCCAACCUUUAUUUUGUCAUUACCAUUAGCAGUACAUAUGUAGUGUUUUUUUCAGUGUUGCUGAGAAGCAGUUGGUGCAGUGAAUAUUUUCAUGUUUUUGAUUCGAUGAGCACAACGGAAAUACUUUUUCAUUAUUGCAAUUAUUUUUUUCACUGAUUUCUCAACUGAGCAAAUUAUCUGCUUUGAGAUGUAAAUGGACAAUGAACUCCCUUGGUUUUGCUAUUCUAGAUAUUACCUGGAAUAUGGGAGAAACUUUCGGUGGUUUGUUUGUUAGAUACCCUUGCUUUCAAUAUGUUUUUUCCUCCUACUAAUUCCCAGAUACUGUGCUAUAGAUUAUUGUUUCCAAAGAUUAGAAAAGAUGUUAAUACAAGGUAUUAACAUUGAAAGCAGAAACAAAAAUUUUACUCAUCAGCUUGAGAUGAUUAAUUACAAUAAUGAUAACAAAGUCAAGCACAAUGUCUUAUUCACAUGCCAUAGAGGACAGUCCUGACUUAUGUACUAGCAUGCUUUCAAUUUUUUUGCAAAGCACAUAGAUUUUUUUUUACAUCAUCAGGCAUUUCUGAAAACUUUCAGUGUUUAAUUGUCUCUCGCUCUUCAUGAUCAUAAAAACAAAAUUAAUAUAUGGAUAAAAAGGAAAAUAUAAUCAGGGCUUUGAAUCUAGUAUUUUGGCAUUAGCCCUGAAUGUAUGCUAAUUAUGCCCCUAAGUAACACCUCAGGAUCAGAGAAGCAAAGUGGGGGAAAGAUUGCAAAGGGAAAAAACUACUCUGCUUUAAAAAAUUAAAAUUGUUCAUUCAAUUAUAAAAUCCUUAAUAAAAGUCCAUACUUGAGUUCAAGUUGCCCACGGGAAGGUCUAAUUCAUGCUGGCCAUUAAUGAAGGCUUUAUAUGACUAUGAGGAAAAACUGACAAACUACCCUAGCAACCUUAGGAAUGCCUGCUAACAUUUUUAAGUAAUAAUAAGACGGAUACUUAGAAUGCAUCCUAAAUUCUUCUUUUAUAAAGUCACACUUCAUAGAAUAUUAAUAGAUUUUAAAGCAAUUUCAGAUAAUAUAAUUCCAGCUAUUUUGCACUCAUAUGUUUGUUUCUGAAUGCUUUUAUUUUUUUUUUCUUUUGCAGGUGACAAGUCUACUAUUUCAUCAAAUGAGAACCAACAUUUGGCAAUAAGCUAGCCACUGUAAUAUUUUACUCAAUGCAUUUAUGGAGAUAAUAUUUUCUAAAAUAGAAUUUAUAUCAAAACCAAACUUUUUAAAUUUAGAGCUCAGUACUAACAACUCAAUUAUGGAUAUGUUCAUAUAAACCUAAUCUUAAAACAGAAUUGCUUUUAUGGAAAAGCAUUUCCAGUUUUGAUAGAAGACGUUUGCCAAAGUCAUGUAGGGUGAGCUGAUCGGCAUACUGUAUCGAUAUUUUCUUAUAACAUUAAAGAUUAAAGAAGACUGUAGAGUAGAGUUUAUUACACAGUGCUGCUGGAUUAACAUAGUUUAUAGUAAUUGCUAUUAAACAAUGAAAAUUACCACAAUCGUCAACAUUUCCAGUAGUAAUAUAACUUUAUCAACAUUGUUUAUAAAAGAUUUAUUUGGUUUAACUCUUUUACAACACUGGUAGCAUGUCCAUUGGGCUUCAUCUGGAGACAUCUACACAAAAAAAUAUUAAAAACAUCCCAAAGAAGUUCUUACAAAUAAUAAUAAUAAAAACCCUAAUCACUGUGACCUUUAAUUUCUAUCUUGAAAAACUAUAAAGUCAGAGUAAAACUAAACUUCCUAGACAUAAUUAGUAAUACUUUCAGUGCUUUUAAAAGUCAUCAUUUUAUUUUUGCCUCUUAAAACUCAAGGUGUGAACAAAUUGAAACUGCUAAACUAGGACAGAAUCAUCGCCAUUACUACAAGUAAAUGUAUUGUCAUAUAUUUUUUUCUUCUUUUUUUUUUUUUUUUCCUCAAAUUCUGGGAAUUCUUGAAUUUCUUUAAGGUUCUCCUUUUUCAUGAUUUUAAACAUCCAGUUACCCAGCUUACUAGAACUGAAUUUUCUGUUCUUUCUUUCUAACUUCUACCAUCCUCUUUAUCAAUUCACACUUCUCAAAAGUAUCUCUGAGUGUUUGACUUUACACUUUAGAAGUUUCCUUCAUUUUCUUUCUUUUUCCUUUCCGCUUUUUUUUUUUUUUUCCCCUCCUUUUCCCCAGAUUUUUUUUUUUUCCUCCGGCUUUGUAGCUCUGUUUGCUGUCCAUCUUUUUGGACAAAGUCUUCUUCUUCUGCACAAAUUUGUAUGGACUGUCUUUUAACACUGCCUGCACCCAGCAUUGCUGUGUUUAUUCCAGUUUGAUUUAUACAAACCAGUACUCAGAGUGAUACUGCAUUCUUCCUGCUGUUGUUAAGAAUAGGAGCCCUAAUAUAUUCUGGGAAAGCUGCAACUGCUGUUCUUGUUGCAACGUAGAUGCUGGCACUUUUACUGGGUCUUGAUGUAUUCAGUAGUAGCUAGAAUACAAAGGGGUCUCUGCAAGUUUAUGUUCUGAAAUAUAUAAAACCUCCAUCGUAUUAGUUUUGUUAUUUUGCAAGCUUUGUUAUUCCCAGACCACCAAGCCCUUGCAAAAGACAAUACUGCAUGAUUCUUCCAGCAGUCACAAUGUUGUCCUUAAAACAUGUUGCACUUGAGAUAGUUGACAUAGCCCUACAACUUCUGCAGGCUCCCAGUAAUGUCUUGCUCAUGAAAACAUAAUAGUAAUUUGCCCCUUGUUAAAAGUUAAAAAUAAAAUGUAGGAAUGGAUGCUCACAUUUAUGUACCACCUAUAGUAUUUUUAAGUCUGCAUUCCCUAAGAGUGAAGUAUUAGAUCAAAGAAGAGAAAAAAAUAAAUAUUUACCUUUUACAGUGGAUUAUAGACAGAUGGACUAUAGACAAAUGACGUUAUACACUGCCAAAAUUCAAAUAAAAUACAAUUUAUUCCAUAAUUUGCCAUGACAGACUGAAAAUUCUAAGUCUUAAUUGCUUACCAUAUGUAAUUUCCCUCCUUCCCCUAGUCUGAAAAGUAUACAAUGCAAUAGUAGAAGAAAAUAUAAGACAGCAGAGUUGACACAGAAUGAAAUUAUUCUUCUAUCAGAGAAAUAUAGUUCCCUUAAAAAAAAUCAGUUAAUAAAAACCAUGAAGAAAGAGGAAUAUCCAAAUUACAUUUUUUCCAAGAUCUACCUGAAUUUGGAUUUCAGGACUAAGAAUGUAUACCUUAAACAGGAAAGCAAGGAAAGCAUACUUUACUAGGAAGACUAUACUGUAUUUGUAUUUCAAUUAGAUCUCUGAACAUUUUCCAUACAUUCUUUGAAAUCAUCAUACUGUUUACCUUUCUCACUGUUUAUCAUAUUUCAUGUUUUCCCAUAAACCUAAUUUUAAAAUUAUUUAAUUACAGGAGUUCUAUCUUUAGUAUAAUCAUUGAGGAUUUAAAGAAAAUUUGAGAUGUAAACUAUGUCUUUACAUAUACUGUACUUCAGAUAUUCUCAUCUAGCACUGACAAACUAAAAAAGUUUCUGCUGGGCUUUUUCAGAAUCCCUUUUAGAGCAGAGUUUUUUAAUUUCCAUUAUUCCUUUAUGCUGGAUUGAAAUUUAGUUCUGCUUUUUCAUUUAUUUUCCCUUUUGUUGGCUUACUUGCCUUUCCACACCCUUCCUAUUCCUACAGUCAUAAGAACAAAGAAUGUUCUUAAUAGUAUUGAAAAACCCUGAAUUCCAUUAGUUUGAAUACUUCAUUUUUGGCAUAACAUGAGGCAUGGCCUUCUCUAUGUCCCAGGAGCAAGAAUUCUGCAAUGCUUCCAAACCCAGAUCUUUUCUGUGGCAAUGAAAUCUUCUCGUCAUCCAAGAUAUCAAACUGUUAGGCUGUUGUUUUUGAAAGCCUGAACUGAGGAAAUACAUCUGAUUUAAAUAAAUUAGGUUGUUUGAACAUGCCUAAAGCAAUAGUAAAAAUAUGUCACUGUUUUCCUGCCUCUUAAUGUGAGUCCAAUUGGACAGUCUCCUUGAGAUGUCUCUUCUUCAUUCAUUCAUGUGCAGUUAGAAAUACAAAAAAUUAUUGUAGGAUAUUGUUCUCAUUAUAGUCUAGAUAUGGAAGUCUUUCUGUGGUUGCAGUUCACCUUGAAAUUUAUAUAGUUUAUUUGGAUUCAUCCUCUUUAGUAUUCACCUACCAAAAUAUUAGGGAAACUUUAUAUAUAAUCUUGGAUUUGAUUUCUUCAGUACUCUAACACAUUUUAUUUGAAAGCACUUUUGUUUAAGCUAUAGGGUUUUAUUAUAAAUUACAUAUUUUACUAUUACUGUCUUCACAAUAUUUAUAUGAAUAAAUUCAGCUAAAUAUUGAGUAUGUGCUCACUAAAGUGCUUGUCCAUUGGCUGAAAAUAGUUGUAUACUUCAGGAUAUUAACUGAACAUGACUGUGAGCAUCAACUGUUCUCACUGAAAUAGAGUUUAAAAAAAAUUAACGGAAUCCUUUCAAUAGAGUACGAAGUGACUGGCAGUGGAUCUGAGGCAUGAAAUUUCUAAGAUUCAGUUUAGAGGGAGGUGUUAAAGCAGACAUUUCUGGCAAUACAUUUAAAAGAUUUUGGGCAGAAGGAAAGGAAGAAAUCCCUGACUACUGCAGACAAAUUUAACUUGUAAUUUCUUUGUAAACUUCUUGAGCUUGAUGUCAAAUGUAGAUAGUCUCUCAUCAGUUUUAUUGUAGAGCAUUAUACUCCUUAUAUUUAAAAGCAUUCUGCAUUUUUUUUACCACAGUUCUAGUAUAUUUAAUUAGCUUUUAUUCUUCUCUUUCUUAAAUAGCCCUCCUCGUUAUAUAUAAUAUAUUUACAAAUAACACCUCUAUUAGCUCAGCUUCCAUUUUGCUAAGCUAAAGAAGUUAAGGAGUUUUUCUGUGUAUUUGAAGUAUUUCUGGUUCAAAUGCAACAAAAUAGUAUGCACUAAUCCAGAGGCAAUCUUGCCAAGACUUUGCGCAAGGGGUACUCUUUACAAGAAAUGGAAAACAUCCCAGCACAUCGUGGAAUUACACUUUCCUUUGUCAUGGUAGCUUCACACCAGUAGUGAUAAUGAUCAUGUGAUUGUUUGAUUAAACCCAAUUUUUUCUCCUCCUGUACUAUUUCUAACUGAUGAGCUCCCAGCUUAUAGCAGAAAUUCUUGUUAUUAGUCCCUGAGUGCAUGACCUUACACUUUGUACUAUUAAAUUUGAUCUAGCUGCUAUUGCUACAGUUGUCAAGGUCAUCUGAUUCUUCCUGUGUGAUAUUCCUGUUCACUUCUAUAUAGACAACUCCUCCAAAGUUUUUGUCAUCAAUAAAUGUCAUUAACACACUUCUAAUAUCUGUUUCAAAUCGAUUAAUGAGGAUAUCAAAUAAUAGUCCAAAAACCAGUCCUUGAAGAACUCCAUCAGUGAUUUUCCAAACUUAUAAACUUCCUUUCAACUAAAGUCUUGUUUGUCUUUUGUUUAAGCAGUAUUACAAUUCUUGCGCUAAUUACUUGUUUUAACUGGUAGUUCCCCAUGUGGAAAUGCCUGAAAUUAGGUUUGGACUGGAUCAGUUUCAUUGCAGAAAACUAAUUAUAAGCGAGAUAUAGAAGUGUGACCUAAGGAAGGCAGUUCAGUCAAACCAGGCCUGCAUAUCACCCAAACUGAAAUGUCAGAUAGGAGAAGAAAAAAGCUCACUGAUUAUUUAGCAAUAAAUCUGUUAAGAAAUAUUUGACAAAAACUCGAAAAUCAGUGCGUAGAUUUAACCUUAAAAUACUGAUUUGCAAAUAACAAAACCUUUACAUAUGGCAAAUGAGGAGUAAGGUAUACCUCAAGUAUAUUCCUGUGUCUAAACAAUGCUGCUUUAUAUUCUCUCAUUAUAACAUCAUUAUUUAAGGAAUUAUGAUGCAGUGGUCCAUUAUCAACUGGUUAUUCAGUUAAUGAAUGAAGUGCCUGAGGUGAAGGCCACUGCUUUACUUACUGACCAUGAGGUUAUACUAAGAAACAAGCAUUCAUCUUGAUCACAGUGCCAAUUCAGCAUCUACUAAAUUGACAGAUCUAUCUGAGAAUAAGUUUCUAUCACAAAGAAAGUGUCAUCUCCUGUCAUCUUACAAGUGUACUUCAUUCUCUACCUAGAUUUAACAAUUGACACUCUUCUACUGCACAGCAUAUCAGCUUCCUUGUUAUAAAGCAGCAAAAUGUGUUCAUAUUAUCAGCAGUUAUGUUUGCAGCAGUUUAUUUAAAGAAUAAAUUUGACUCAGUGAUGUCUUCCAUUUUCAAAUAUUAAGCCCCUUCACUGGUUGCUAUUUUUUAUAUCUCAGUAACUUUUCAGGUUAAUUUUAAUUAAUGACAUCACUUCACUGUUUUUGCUAAGACCAUAGAUCCAACAGCAGUGAUCGUUCCACCCAACUGGUGUGGCAGUGAAUGAUAUCAGAGGAAGGUGAGAUCCCAGGCCUGAAGGGUGGAGAAGUUAAGUCUAGUUUACUGUCCAUUCCCCUUCCACCAGACCAAAACCAGCUGUGUAGAACCACUUCGUUAAACCUGGGUAACCGAGAUACUUGUAAACUCCAUGUCUGCUGAAGAAAGAUUUGUCACAGAUUUGAAAAACUUGUAGGAGAGAACUACAGUAAUGGAGUGUUGACGGUUUACGGGCUGGUUUGGCCCAGUUCCGUGACUAGCAGGGUGGAGGGAUUUCACAAAUCUGCGCCUCUGGAAAAGAGAAACAGGGGACCCCAAAAUAAUUAAAAAUAGCGGAAGUGAUCUGAGGAGAAACAAACUAAUUUACUAAUCAUGGUAUUGGAAUAAUAGAUAACACACUAUAAUACAAUAUAAUUAGAAUUAAAGCUAAGAAAUCAAAUAUAAUGAGAAAAAGAGUGUCUGAGAACUGAAGGCCUCACCACACUGCUGAAAUGAGAUGUGCAGUUGAGUCGAGCAGCAAGGAGGAGAGCCGAAGGAAAAGAGAGACAUCAGGUGACCUUGCCGUUGGUUAUAUCUCCUCUCUCACUGCAAAGCCCCCUGGGAUAUGCAGUUCUUCUUCUCUUCCGGACAGGUGCCUGGAACUGGAGCAUUAACUCUUUAACUCCCAGUGCACUACAUGAUGUUAUGAUGUGGAAUACCGAUAACUAAAAAUCAUAAAACCAUAACAUGAAGCUUGGCUUCCUAAUGUACUUGUGAUAUCAGAAUGGCUAGGAGAGGAACUAAAUGCAAAAGAGUGGCCUACAAAGUCUUUUAUGUUUUCAAAGACAGAUUCUUCAAUUUUUUUAAAAAAUUAAACCCAUGAUGAAAUGGCCUCGUGUUUCCAAUACACUGGCCAGUAAGACCUUAGUUGGAUGAAGCUCUGCAUAUAUCAUCAACAAGUAAUACAAAGAUUAGGAAUUUUCUAUUAGUGCACAGGGAACACUCAGCAGUUCAGGGGGUAGGGUGGGGGGAUCUUAUUAAUGUUUAUAAAUAACUGAGAAGAGGAUGAAAAGGGGAUGGAGCAAUGCUGUUUUCAGUGGUACUCAUUGCCAAGACAAAAGGCAACAGGCACAAACUGGAACACAAGAAGUUACUUCUGAACAUCAGCAAGCACUUCUUUACUUCAUGGGUGAUAGGGCACUGGAAUAUGUUGCUCAGGUCUCCUUCCUUUCAGACAUUCAAAAAAACAUCUGGAUGUGGUCCUGGGCAACCUGGUGUAUGUGUCCCUGCUUGAGCAUGAUUUUUGGAUGAGAUGACUAACAGAGGUCACUUGUAGCCAUAAACAUUUUGUACUCCUGUGAUCCUGUGAUUCUGCAAUACCUCUUGAACAAAGAAAACCAGGAGACAAGAGAACUAGAUCUGUACUGGAGCCUAAAGAACAAGUGACAAUGGUUAGAUUCCACCCUAAUAAAAUUAGCUUGGGAUAUGAAAUGAAUCAGCACCUGAGAUUAAGUAUAAUAGAUUGAAUACACCAAAUAGAAUAUUUUGUAAGAGAUUCCAUAAUCCUUGAUAAUUUCAUUUACAUUUCAGUUUAUGCCAUAGAUUUUUCUUUAGAUCUGCUUUUCUAUCUUUCCUGGAUGUAAUUUUAUAAAAUAUUCAAAGGGAUCAAUUAAAUAUUAAAAUACUAUAGGCUGAAAUCAUUGUAAAUUUAAACUUGAAUAACUGACAGAACUACGUGAAAUCUUGUGUGGAAUUAGGAAACUUUGUGCUACUUAAUUUAUUGAAAGUUGGCUCUAUCUCUGAUAAUUUCUGAAUUAAUAUUACUAAAUUUGAUCAACUUCUGCACCAGUACUAUGCUCUGUAUUUGAUUCAUGGUAAGGAAGAAAUAUCUUUCUUGCUGUUCACAAUAUUUUACAAUAAUCCCAAGUCCAUAGUCGAUUAUUUCUGUUUCCUUCUGUUAUCUCUUCUUAGGGAAAACACAUAUCAUAUACUGAUGCUAUUACCUUUCCUGCUUCUACUAAUUUACUAAGGGCUUAAAGCUAUUUGUAUCUGGCAGAAUAGCCUUACCCUUUUGCCUAAUCCUUCAAUCCAGCAGCUCCACAAUACAUCAGUAGUUGCCCCAGUUGUAAAGCAGUGCAUGUCCCUAACCCAUCAACUGAAAGCCUUUCUACAGUAUGUGAAGUAUAACUGCAGUGUUUGUUCAAAUUGAAAUUUAGAUGAUUCUCUCUUCACAUGCAUCAUGACAUUUUGUAUUUCUGUGAUUUGGAGUUAAUGUUUUUCCAAUCUCAGACAGAAAGAGAGUUCUGAUUAUCUAUGGAGGAUGAUCCACAAUUCUUUUUUCAUUCAUUCUGGAAUAGCAAAUGAGUAUGUUUACUCUGUCAUCUGAAAAGAUGAUACCCUUGAACCAUGCUACUCAGUCUGUCACAGUCCUGUUACAGGGGAGAUGACCCACUUACUGACCGAAAAAGAAAAAGAAAAAAAGGCUAAAACAUACAAAGCUACUCAGAGAUUUUAUUUAAACAAAACUAGCCCUGCUCUGAACUACUUACUUGCUCAGGACUGAGGACUGAGGAAUGAUACCUUAAAUGUUUGCCUAUUAAAAGACUGCUAGAACUAAGAACUUCAUUAUAAUUUUUCAUCACUUCCCAAAUUCAUUCUAAUGCAUCUUCUCCAGAAUAUGCUUUUCAAUGACUUUUCCAAAACUUUAAAAAACUUAUAUGAAAAUGUAGAUCAUUUCAGACAAAAGGUUUCAGCACAAGGUUUGAUCUUAGAUAUAAUAAAUGGCACUUGAGAGAUUCCCAGUGGAAUUCUUUGGAUAACUUUUUUCAUAGAGGCUAACACCAAGAGAGAAGUAAUUAUAUUGUGCUGUUGACUUUCCAUUAAGGGUCUUCACAUUUUGCCCACUUGUUUUGUCUUGAGCUUAAUAUCUUCUGUUUGGAUACAGUGUAUCUUCCAGAAAAGGAAUCUGUUUUGAUCUGUGAACAUUAAAAGACAGGGAACUGAUCAUAUCCUUUUAUAACUUAUUCCAGUUGUUAACCACACACGUGGCUUAGUUCAGCACCCUAAUAUUAGAUCUUAUUCUCUCCUUCUUUACCUGGUUAAAGAGCAGUCUGGUACUCUGUUUUUCCAUUGUGACAAUACUCACACCUUCACAGUCAUCUUUCAGUGAAGACUUUUCAAUGCGCUAACCAAAAUAAACUCUUAAAAAUUUCUCACUAUAGGUAUUUUUCUAACCUUUUUUCGUGGUUCUUUAUUACAACAUCUCCAGAUUUAUACAAACAAACAAAAACAAAGCAAAACAAAUAGAAUAUUUGUAAAUUAAUUGUAAAUUAAAUCUAAUUGUAGAAUAAUGCACUCCCCUCAAGUGUCAACUGAAAAUAUUCCUAAAGUAUACCAAGUACUUAAACAACAUUUAUUCAAAUAGAAAUAUCAUAGAAUCAUAGAAUAUCCCAAGCUGGGAGGAACUGAUAAGGAUAGAGUCCAGCUCCUAUAUAGAUGGUGUUGUUUCAUAUCUAUAAAGAUAACACAUAUAUUUCUUCAUUACAAAACAAAUCUAGAAAGAAUUUGGAUAAAAAAAAACCAACCCAACAAUCUCUCCAAUUUUUAUUUUUCAUUGUAGAUCUCAACUAUUUAUGAUGUAACAGUAAAGGGGAAUAGUCAUCUUUCCCUUCCAUUUCAAAUAACACAUGUAUGGAUACUAGACAUGAAGAACAUUAAUUCAUUUUAGGAUAUUAGGCUCAGAGAAGAGUGUUCAAACAUAAUGGAGUUGACUAAUUUAGGCAUACUACGAGGCUUAAAAGUAUCUGCAAAUAUGGAAGUUUCAGACCUUAAUUCUUUCAGUUGCUAGUCAUUACAAUGAAAUAAAUUGAUUAAAACAGCAUAGUAGUUCUUGAGGCAUGUAAAUAUACAAAGAUUUCAAAAUACUACAAAAAACCUAAAAGGCUGAGCAUUUAAAGUUGGCUUUGCCAUCUCAUAAAAUCAUAGAAUCAGAAUCACUAAGGUUGGAAAAGACCCACAGGAUCAUCCAGUCCAACCAUUCUUCCUUCACCAAUGGUUCUCGCUAAACCAUGUCCCUCAACACAACAUCCAAACGCUCUUUGAACACCACCAGGGUCGGUGACUCCAUCACCUCUCUGGGCAGCCCAUUCCAAUGUUUGACCACCCUUUCAGAGAAGUAGUAUUUCCUAACGUCCAGCCUGAAUCUUCCCUGGCGCAGCUUGAAGCCAUUCCCUCUAGUCCUAUCACUAGUCACCUGAGAGAAGAGGCUGACCCCCAGCUCACUACAACCUCCCUUCAGGUAGUUAUAGAGAGCAAUAAGGUCUCCCCUGAGCCUUCUCUUCUCCAGACUGAACAAUCCCAGCUCCUUCAGCCGCUCCUCAGAAGGCCUGUGCUCCAGACCCCUCAUCAGCUUUGUUGCCCUCCUCUGGACAUGCUCCAGGGCCUCGAUGUCUUUCUUACAGUGAGGAGCCCAAAACUGGGCACAGUACUUGAGGUGCAGCCUCACCAGUGCUGAGUACAGGGGGACAAUUACUUCCCUCUUCCUGCUGGCCACACUAUUUCUGAUACAAGCCAGAAUGCCAUUGGCCUUCUUGGCCACCUGGACACACUGCUGGCUCAUGUUUAGUCUAGAGUCAAUCAAUACCCCCAGGUCCAUUUCCUCUACACAGUCUUCCAGCCACUCUGCCCCAAGCCUGUAGCAUUGCCUGGGGUUAUUGUGGCCAAAGUGCAGGAUCCGGCAUUUGGUCUUGUUGAAUCCCAUCCCAUUGGCUUCAUCCCAGCUAUCCAGCCUGUCCAGAUCCCUCUGUAGGGCCUUGCUACCCCCAGGCAGAUCGACACUUCCAGCCAGCUUGGCGUUAUCUGCAAACUUACUGAGGGUGCACUCAAUGCCCUCAUCCAGGUCGUCAAUAAAGAUAUUAAACAGGACAGGCCCCAGCACGGACCCCUGGGGAACACCACUCGUGACCGGUCACCAGCUGGAUUCAACUCCAUUCACCACAACUCUCUGGGCCCAGCCCUCCAAUCAGUUCCUUACCCAGCAUGAGGUAACCUCAUGAGGACCAUCUUAUAUCCUGCAACAAAUGCAAGGAAUCAUUGGGGUAAGAAACAGUACUCCAAUUUAUGUUGAAGAAUUUUCUCUGAGAAGGUCAAAACUGGUUACCAGCUGCAUCAUCUGCUAAGAUAAAGGCAGUGAAAAGCAGAGACACAAACAAAGAGAAGGUGAGGUGAAAUGUAGAAUAACAACAUUAAACUUCCACACUGUCUGUAGAAAAACAACAAAACUACCAAAACAGGUUACUGCCAAUCAUUUUUGAAAAAUAAGUAAAUAUCACUUAUGGUCUAAAUACUGUGGCCCUUGGUGAUUGCUCAUAAACUUCAAAAUAUUAGUGUGUUAUAAGGACAUACGCAUUUUGAUUAAAGAUUAUUCCCCUGCAGAAAUGAAAAUAAAUAUAAAUUAGAAUUUACUCUUUUAGAGAUUAUACUGACAACUAAAAUAGUACAGUAGCUUCUAUAUUGGGCUAUGCCAAAAGGGUGCCCUUAUCAGAAACCUUAAAGAUCUUGAUAGACUGAUUGAAAGACAUCCUAGAGAACCAAUAUAGUUAUUCCUGCAGCCUAAACUUGCUUAAAGAUAGCAGUGAUGUGCUCGUACAGACCAGAUGCUGUAUGCCUUAGUCAGGCCCUCAUCUAACUUUAUUCCAGUUACUUAAGAAUGCAUAUUGUCUUUUAGAACUAGUGCAAAGAAUGAUAAAUCCUUUAAAAAUUCACACAACUUUGCUUUCAUCAGAUUAAGGUAGCUUAGCAACUAGAGUAGUAUUUUAUCUGUUUUCACUGGGAUUUGGUUCCCUUUAUAGCACCCUUGAACUGACCCUGAUAGCUGGUGUUUCUAUCUUUUAUCAGCCCUGAGUCUUUUGAAUCACCAGGUCAUUGAGUUAUGAGACACUGCCAUCUUCACAUGUAUACCUACACUAGCUUAUCCUUACCAUCCAAUUUGGGUCUUUAUUAAAGAGCCAGAAAAGGCACAUCUAGGUCCUAUCUUCUGUACUAUGACAUUAAUCCCAUAGGAGAUUCACGGUCAAAAAUCUUAUAAUGUUAACUUUAUUUUCAGCAUGAAUUUAUGAUAACUAAAUAAAAUUUAUAGCCCACACACUGACAUGGCAUCUAUUUUUUUCCUUUGAGAUCUUCAAAAUGUAUACAGUAUUCUCCAACAUUUCUUAUUCACUAGCAGAGCUCCUACCAUAAAUGACUCAUCAUAGAAGGAGUGGCUUUUUUGCCCUUUGCGGCAUACUCCUUCAGCGCUGUAGCUAUGUUUCUAAAUAAAAGGCAGCAUGCUUCCAAGUUCUUUUUUUUUUUUUUUUUUUUUUCUCUCUCAGGGCUCUCCGGCUGAAAUAGAAACCCAAGUCCGCAUGGUGAUCAUAUUUGUUACCCUAGGGACUAAUUUUCUUUUACCUCCUUUCCUGUAUUCCAAAGCUUCAUUGCCAUCAUCCUCUUGCUCCCUAUGCACUAACAAAAAGAUUUUAAUGUAUUCAUUAUGCAAAAUCUUGUCUUUUGUGACCUUUGCCAAGAGUGCCCCCAAAGGACCGGCCAGGCUUAAUAAGCUCACAAAUAAACUACGAUGUCAGCCAAGGGCACUACUGGCCAAUUGAGCCUGCACCAUUGCCCUCUCCCCCAAGCUCCCUCUUCACACCUGAGAUACCCCGAGGUGGGAUUGCAGGGGUGUUGUCUGCCCUGCAAAACUGUUAAUCCUUUCCGGCAGCUCCCAGCUAGGCAAACAAUCCCCCUUUGUGAAGGCUGGAACAAUCACACAGGCAAUAUUGCCUUUGUCUCUCCUGAGAUAGACUCUGCCUUCCUUUAAGUUCCUCUUUUUCCCUUUUUCAGCCACAUUGUUUAAUGCUUUCAUUCUUCUUAUUUCAUCUAUGUUAUAUCCUGUAAAAGCUUUGUCAUGGGCAAGCCAGCUGGGUCAAUGGAGGAAAGGCACUCUCUCAUCUGAUCCCUGCGUUAGUCCUUUUUUGUCCUGUCCAGAGUUAUUGUCUAGGUUCUGCAGGGAAAGCAUCCGCUCUCCUAUUUGGUUGUUGAUGCUGUGGCAGAUUACAGUGGUUUCUGUCUGCUAAGCAGUCAGCCGAAGAAAGGAGUAAGAGAGGCAGAGCAGCCUCUUCAUUUCAUAUAUAAAAGCUGCAGAUCAAGCAUAUAAUAUCAGAGAAUAACCUAGCUGCUGAAAUUCUGAAUUUAUUGUGGAAGAAUAUAAACUUUCAAAACUCUAAAAGAAAUUGGGCUCAUAAAAGAUAGAUAUUACAAAUGUUAAUGCAAAUUAUUAGUAAAUCUGACCCCCAAUGUGUGACUAUGACAUACAUUUAAAAUUUAUUAUGGAACACAUUCAGGGGAAUAGCUUUAGGGAAUUCAUUGCUCAUCUUUCUCUUUCUUCCUCCAUCUCACACACUAGCAGUUUCCAGACAGCUUCUCUGAAUUCUUCAGAAAUACUGCCACUCUGACCUCUGUACCAUAGAUCCAUUGACUUACUUCAUUUGACUGUCUGGAGUGACAGUUAAGGUACUAGUACAACAUGUUCUCACAACUUCCUUGGCAGUGUACACAUCUUCUUUCCAGCUCAUUUCUAUAUUAUGAUGCAGAAUACUGUGGCACAGAGUACUUAAAUAAAAUCUUUCUGAGCUUCUGAAGUUUUAAUAUAUGUAGUCCAAAGAAAAAUCAGGAGCAAAUGAUGGGCUUUAGCAAGCAGCAGAAUUCACGUUACAACACCUAUCUGCUUUUGAGAGCAUGCCAAACAGAGAAGGCUAUCAAUAUCAUGAAAAGUUUUCGGUAUCAAAGUGUCAUUAGUUACAAUUACACAUCCAUAUAUUAUAUUUUAUUAUUCUUAUUUUUUUAGCUAAAAUUUUGAAUCUUUUUCUCCUUCCUCACACUUGUUUAUCUCACUUUCAAGGUUAAAAAAAAUGAACACCCUGCAAUCAUAACAUUACUUUUUUUUCAGAAAUCUUCUAAGGAACUUAAGGCCAGGUUUUCAUAGAUGCAGAAAAUUUAGGCAAUACCGUGGGUGCUCAUCACUGUAAAAACCUGGUUUCUGAGUUUAAAACUCCUUUGGUAAUGAUCUUAUGUAACUCUUCUCAAUGCCAUAAUGACAGUAUAGUGCCUCCAACAUUUUAAAGAAAAAAAAGUAAGCAAACAAACAAAUAGAGAAAAUGCACAAAACUCUUGUCAAACCCAGAAAACUUCUCAUUUAACCAGGUUCCAUUUGCAAAUGUAGAAAACAAUAUAUCUGUUAAUCUGACAGGAUACAGCAAUAUCAGGAUAACACAUUUGCCAUAUGUGGAACUGGACUGUAGCCAUUUGUUCUUUUAACAUGUACUUCAGACACUCAGACUGCAUACAGUAGGUUCUAAUUAUCUGUCCAGAAGCUCAGGAAGAAAAAAUAAAGUAUCUUUUCUGCCUUCUUGCUCUCAGGAUAAGAAAAAGCCUCCAAAUACUGUAAUAAAAAUGAAAGAAAGGGGCUAGAAGGACUAUAAUAUUCAUCAAAAUCUGAGGAGAGAAAAAAAAAGGAAAGGAAAACAAAAGGCACAUGUCAAUAAAUACAAGAAACACCCACCCCGUAUUACUGUGGUUACUAACUGCUAACAAUGAGCCUCUGGCAGUGAGGUGUGCAGACAAAAGGCCCUUGAGAAGUUGUACUGCUGCAUCCUGUAUAAUAGUUGAAACCUAUGAGUGUUUUUCAAGGUUAGGCACAAAUAAAGCAAAAUUUCUUUAUUAAGGCUCCAAAUUACUCAUCUUCUCCUACAUUUCAGUCCAUUGUGGGGCUCUGAGUACUGUAACUGACCUUUGAUAAACAGUCAUUUCACCACAGUGAUGAGACUUCAUAAAGACAGGUCUGCACAAUAUAAUGCAGAUUAACUGAGGGGCAUUCCAGCUUUUCUUAAAAAUAAGCUAGAAUGACACCAGAGAAUUUGCUCAUAAUCUAGUCGGUUGCACGUGCACAUAUUCUUUGUGAGUGAAAUUUCUUUCCAAUGAGAUAAUUUAAAAAAUUAAGAAAUUACGUCUGUCUACGUGGAUAGAGCAAUUUAAAAUAUUUCCUUCAAAGGAGAAUCUAUUUAAUGCUUUGUCACAGGUAUGAAUGAACUGAUGAUCCAGUGUUCAUAUGCCUCACUACACAAUGAGGUUGAUCACUGAUGUUACAGACAGAGGAAAAAAACCUGCAAAUGCGAAGUUGUUAUAGGUUGUGUCAUGAAUAAGUUUCAAGCUUCUGAGUGAAACCAGUGAGUAAGCUAGUAUUGUAAAACUUGCACAUUUAUGUAGAGGUAAAACCAAGUAAAUAAAGAAGGUGGCAUGAAAGAUCAGAGAAAGUGAUCAUGACAUACCAAAGGUAGUCUGAAAUGUUGACAAGAGAUCCAGCCAAAUUAAUUUGUUUAUAAAGUUUCAUGAGCAAAGCCAUGUUAACGGUGUAGUAUUGUUUACUAUUUACAUGAUCAAUUAUCAAUAUCAAUUUGCAAAGGUGUUUUAGGACACCAAUAAGAAAGUCAAAGGGAAUAAGAUGAAAAGAUUACCACUAGAACUAGCAGUACCACUUUGUUGCAUUGCACUUUCCAGCUUCUGUCAUUAUAGCUGGACCCAAUUUAUCCUUUUCUCAUUUUGCAGGAAAAAAAAUCAUAAAAGGCACUAGAGAUGAAAUGAUCAGUAUUAUUGUCAAGGCAUUUUAAACAAGAAUGCAGAGUCCUUGGGCCAGAGCUCCAGCAGUUCAAGGCAAUCUUUAAUCCAGCUUUGUUUCUUUUUCCUGUGUUCUCAAUUUGUAUGUCUUGAUGCCCAUUCGAAAUGAAGUCUCUAAAUUACAUUACAAAAGGCAGUUGUCUUUUCAGAGAAGAAGCUGUAAAACUGAACUAGAAUAAUGCCACACAUUAUUACUGAAAUGGCAAUAUCCAAAAGUCCAUGAAAAUAAAAUCUGCACUUGAGGAUACAGAUAAUUGAUUCACCUAAACAAAAUGCUGUAGUCUAUAAAUAGCACUGUAAAAGGCCAAAGUACUGUUCUUGCAGGAAACAAAUUUUCUAAUACCACUUUUAAUCUUCAGAACUCUUGGAUUGCACUCGAUGAGAGGUAAAACCAUUUUUAAGAGCUAAAUGGCUUUAUUUUCAGAAUUUCCAAGCAGUUAGAGCACCCAGCAGUUUCAAUGGAAACUGCAGGUGCUCAGGACUACUUGAAAAACUGUUAAUACAUGUAUCUUUUAUAUAUACAUACAUAAAUAUUCAUAUAUUAGAAGUAUCCUCCACAUAUGUAGCCAUCAGUAUUGAAAACAUUUAUCAUAAAGGCAAUACAAAAGUACAACAAUGCACAAUACAAAUGGAACAUCCCUAAUGUAGGCUAUGGGCAGCACCAAAAAACCCAACAAAAUGGUAGAUUAGAGAAGCUUUGUGGGUAUCAUCUUGCUGUCUGGAUUUUCUCCACUGAUUUAAAUGGGAGUGAGCCCCACAUACAAAGAGCAUUAAUCAUAGAAUCAAAGAAUCAUAGAAUCACAGGAUGGAUUGGGUUGGAAAGGGCCUUGAGGAUCAAACUGUUCCAACUUCCCCUGUCAUGGACAGGGCUGUCACCUGUAGGACAGUUUUGCCAUCCAAAUGUUGAGAUUUAAACUAUUUUUCUUAUUUGAUAGAACAUAAAAAUCAAGUAACAUGGGAGAAAAUGUUAAGGAAAAUAAUUGCCUGAGGAAAAUUGAAGAGAUAGGUUUUCUACUGCCAGUGUAACUUGUUGGCUGUUGAUUUCUGAAGCUGGUUCCUCUGCUAAACAUAAGCCCCAGAAAAUAUUCAUAGUAAUUGCAAUUUUUGAGGCAUGCAGUUCAAUUUAUGUAGUCAGUCAAAUUUACGCAGUUUAACAGAUUCCUUGAUUCUUGUCUUGCUUUUUCAUUAAGCCCUUUAAACUGGACUUCUUGUCAAUAAAUAAAACUAUUGACGUUAAAAGGUCACAUCUGUGACCUUUCACAUGUUUCUCCAGCUCUGUAUCUAUAUACACUGUAUACUUUACCUCAAGAAGAGAUUCUUUUAUUUAAGAGAGCUUAAACUGUUCAAAUUUGUAAUGUACUGGGGAUUUUGGAAUAUCUAGAGGGCUUAGUGGAUAAAGAACUGACCUUUCAUCUCUGAACUUGGUUCCCAUCCAGUGUAAGAUAAGUGAAAGAGUUUUGUGUCAGCUGCCCACAUGAUAUAACUAGCUUUACCUUGUAUUAUUCAACACAAUUUGGCAUGACUGGCAGUUUUUUCCUCUCAGGAGAAGCACACUGAAUAUGGAAAAUGAAUUGCUUCUGUCUCCAGAGAGGGUGGUCCUCCAGGUUAGGCUUUGAAGUUAUAAAUGGGAUGUGCUGGAUAGCUCGUAUUAUUGCUGGUUGCCAGAUCCACAUCAAAUGUAUGGAUAAACAGCAGGUCACAGUUUUAAAUAAGCAAUAGAAGAUGAUUUACAAAUAGAAACAUAUAACCACUUAUGUGUCUUUUCCUCAACUAAAUGGAAACUAUGCAAUGUAGCCCAAAGUAGAUGUGAGUAAUUCCAAUGUCUGCACUCACUCCUAUAGGUAGUAAAUUUCUACAUAUAUUGUAAGGGAAUAUGUUUAUGUAUUUUCCCCCAGGAAAAAAAAAAAAAAAAUCUCUGGAUUUCCAUAACGCUACAACUCCCUUAUUUGUCUCUGUGUAAGGCUCCACAGAAACCACUGUGCAAGAGGAGGGCGACCUGCCUCCACCCCGACUAGUGCCACUUCCAAAAAACCACUUCAAGGUGCUGCGCUCCCCAGCCCAUGGAGCUGCUCUCUUCUCACCAGCCAAGCAUCGAACCGCACCCUCUGCGGGGAUUGCUCGUCUCUGAGGGGAGCCCAAGAGCCAGUAAUCAAAGACAGGUCCCCAGCAUGGCAUGGCGAUGCCCAAACUGUAAUGAUGGGGUUUUGUUUUCUGCUGGAUACAGUGCUCUUCCACUGGGAAUAUAUGUAUUUUAAAAGAAGUUUUGAUUUAUUUUGAUUAGAAUUAUGUACUGCGUCUCUGUGACAAACUUUAAAAAGAAACCAACAGACUGAAAUGUGAAUUCAGUUCAUUUUGUUACUGAAACUCAGAACCUGCAAUCAGUUAGCAUGCACCCAGUAAUUAACUGGAUUUCUUCUGUCUGGUGAAUGCAUUAAUUAUCUGCAAUACAACAUAAUGCUCCCUCUUUUCUUGCAGUCCUUGGAACUAAGUUUGUUUCAUUUGAUACUUUUUAUGACUCUUCAGUAAUAUAAAACCAUUUUUAAAAUAGCAAUAAAAAACUGCUCUGCAAGUAUUUCUGGAGACAAGAUAUUUUUAUAAACAAGAAAACCCACCUCAGUGGCACUCAUUGAUUAUAUUUAUCUUUAUGAUUUAUCUACACAUCACACAGAUGGAAUUUUUCAGAAAUGCCAUAAACUGCAAUUUGAAACCAUGUCCACCUAUUGCUUGUCUCACAGCUCUGAUCUCAUGUUAAAAAAAUCAAGGGAAUAAAUUUCCUGUAAAGAUAAUGACAUCUUUGGAAUGUUAAUAGUACAAAACUUUCAAAAGGCAAAAUUAUUUCUUCGCUGAACUAGCAGAUUGGCUUAGUCCAUUUUGCACCUUUGUGCUAGAGAAUGGCUGGGUUUAAAUUACAGCAGCUUCAGUCUUUGCUUUUCAAUCCCUUAAUCCUUAAGGAGCAGAGGUUUCAGUUCAAGACAACUUCACACAGAACAUAAGAAAAGAUUCUGUGAGCCUACCUCAAGUAUGAUGAUCAUUUUUUCAGCUGUAAUCUUUCACUUGCAUCCCAUAGCAAAAAGAAAAAAAAAAAAAAGGGGGAAAAAAAAGACUGAGGAAAACCAGUGUCAAAUAAUUAAUGCAUUUUCAAUCAAGGUUUGCUUUUCACUAUGGUUUAAUGCUCAUGCAUGAAAAGCAAUAAAUACUUU
rnacentral:lncRNA from 1 species